rnacentral:misc_RNA from 1 species
UUUCCGUAGGUGAACCUGCGGAAGGAUCAUUAAAGUUAUAGUCCCCCGGCCCUCUGGGCUGGGGUCUUCUAUACCACCCUUUGUUUAUUACACCUUUGUUGCUUUGGCAGGCCUGCCCUCGGGCUGCUGGCUCCGGCCGGCUCGUGCCUGCCAGAGGACCUAAACUCUGUUCGUAUAUGAAGUCUGAGUACUAUAUAAUAGUUAAAACUUUCAACAACGGAUCUCUUGGUUCUG